GGUUAAGUUAGAAAGGGCGCACGGUGGAUGCCUUGACACUAGGAGUCGAUGAAGGACGGGACUAACGCCGAUAUGCUUCGGGGAGCUGUAAGUAAGCUUUGAUCCGAAGAUUUCCGAAUGGGGAAACCCACCAUACGUAAUGGUAUGGUAUCCUUAUCUGAAUACAUAGGGUAAGGAAGACAGACCCAGGGAACUGAAACAUCUAAGUACCUGGAGGAAGAGAAAGCAAAUGCGAUUUCCUGAGUAGCGGCGAGCGAAACGGAACAUAGCCCAAACCAAGAGGCUUGCCUCUUGGGGUUGUAGGACAUUCUAUACGGAGUUACAAAGGAACGAGGUAGACGAAGCGACCUGGAAAGGUCCGUCGUAGAGGGUAACAACCCCGUAGUCGAAACUUCGUUCUCUCUUGAAUGUAUCCUGAGUACGGCGGAACACGUGAAAUUCCGUCGGAAUCUGGGAGGACCAUCUCCCAAGGCUAAAUACUCCCUAGUGAUCGAUAGUGAACCAGUACCGUGAGGGAAAGGUGAAAAGCACCCCGGAAGGGGAGUGAAAGAGAUCCUGAAACCGUGUGCCUACAAAUAGUCAGAGCCCGUUAACGGGUGAUGGCGUGCCUUUUGUAGAAUGAACCGGCGAGUUACGAUCCCGUGCGAGGUUAAGCUGAAGAGGCGGAGCCGCAGCGAAAGCGAGUCUGAAUAGGGCGUUUAGUACGUGGUCGUAGACCCGAAACCAGGUGAUCUACCCAUGUCCAGGGUGAAGUUCAGGUAACACUGAAUGGAGGCCCGAACCCACGCACGUUGAAAAGUGCGGGGAUGAGGUGUGGGUAGCGGAGAAAUUCCAAUCGAACCUGGAGAUAGCUGGUUCUCCCCGAAAUAGCUUUAGGGCUAGCCUUAAGUGUAAGAGUCUUGGAGGUAGAGCACUGAUUGGACUAGGGGUCCUCAUCGGAUUACCGAAUUCAGUCAAACUCCGAAUGCCAAUGACUUAUCCUUAGGAGUCAGACUGCGAGUGAUAAGAUCCGUAGUCAAAAGGGAAACAGCCCAGACCGCCAGCUAAGGUCCCAAAGUGUGUAUUAAGUGGAAAAGGAUGUGGAGUUGCUUAGACAACUAGGAUGUUGGCUUAGAAGCAGCCACCAUUUAAAGAGUGCGUAAUAGCUCACUAGUCGAGUGACUCUGCGCCGAAAAUGUACCGGGGCUAAAUACACCACCGAAGCUGCGGAUUGAUACCAAUGGUAUCAGUGGUAGGGGAGCGUUCUAAGGACAGUGAAGUCAGACCGUAAGGACUGGUGGAGUGCUUAGAAGUGAGAAUGCCGGUAUGAGUAGCGAAAGACGGGUGAGAAUCCCGUCCACCGAAUGCCUAAGGUUUCCUGAGGAAGGCUCGUCCGCUCAGGGUUAGUCAGGACCUAAGCCGAGGCCGACAGGCGUAGGCGAUGGACAACAGGUUGAUAUUCCUGUACCACCUCUUUAUCGUUUGAGCAAUGGAGGGACGCAGAAGGAUAGAAGAAGCGUGCGAUUGGUUGUGCACGUCCAAGCAGUUAGGCUGAUAAGUAGGCAAAUCCGCUUAUCAUAAAGGCUGAGCUGUGAUGGGGAAGCUCCUUAUGGAGCGAAGUCUUUGAUUCCCCGCUGCCAAGAAAAGCUUCUAGCGAGAUAAAAGGUGCCUGUACCGCAAACCGACACAGGUAGGCGAGGAGAGAAUCCUAAGGUGUGCGAGAGAACUCUGGUUAAGGAACUCGGCAAAAUGACCCCGUAACUUCGGGAGAAGGGGUGCUUUCUUAACGGAAAGCCGCAGUGAAUAGGCCCAAGCGACUGUUUAGCAAAAACACAGCUCUCUGCGAAGCCGUAAGGCGAAGUAUAGGGGGUGACACCUGCCCGGUGCUGGAAGGUUAAGGAGAGGGGUUAGCGUAAGCGAAGCUCUGAACUGAAGCCCCAGUAAACGGCGGCCGUAACUAUAACGGUCCUAAGGUAGCGAAAUUCCUUGUCGGGUAAGUUCCGACCCGCACGAAAGGUGUAACGAUUUGGGCACUGUCUCAACCAGAGACUCGGUGAAAUUAUAGUACCUGUGAAGAUGCAGGUUACCCGCGACAGGACGGAAAGACCCCGUGGAGCUUUACUGUAGCCUGAUAUUGAAUUUUGGUACAGUUUGUACAGGAUAGGCGGGAGCCAUUGAAACCGGAGCGCUAGCUUCGGUGGAGGCGCUGGUGGGAUACCGCCCUGACUGUAUUGAAAUUCUAACCUACGGGUCUUAUCGACCCGGGAGACAGUGUCAGGUGGGCAGUUUGACUGGGGCGGUCGCCUCCUAAAGUGUAACGGAGGCGCCCAAAGGUUCCCUCAGAAUGGUUGGAAAUCAUUCGUAGAGUGCAAAGGCAUAAGGGAGCUUGACUGCGAGACCUACAAGUCGAGCAGGGACGAAAGUCGGGCUUAGUGAUCCGGUGGUUCCGCAUGGAAGGACCAUCGCUCAACGGAUAAAAGCUACCCCGGGGAUAACAGGCUUAUCUCCCCCAAGAGUCCACAUCGACGGGGAGGUUUGGCACCUCGAUGUCGGCUCAUCGCAUCCUGGGGCUGUAGUCGGUCCCAAGGGUUGGGCUGUUCGCCCAUUAAAGCGGUACGCGAGCUGGGUUCAGAACGUCGUGAGACAGUUCGGUCCCUAUCCGUCGUGGGCGUAGGAAAUUUGAGAGGAGCUGUCCUUAGUACGAGAGGACCGGGAUGGACGCACCGCUGGUGUACCAGUUGUUCUGCCAAGGGCAUAGCUGGGUAGCUAUGUGCGGAAGGGAUAAGUGCUGAAAGCAUCUAAGCAUGAAGCCCCCCUCAAGAUGAGAUUUCCCAUAGCGUAAGCUAGUAAGAUCCCUGAAAGAUGAUCAGGUUGAUAGGUUCGAGGUGGAAGCAUGGUGACAUGUGGAGCUGACGAAUACUAAUAGAUCGAGGACUUAACCAU
rnacentral:rRNA from 1 species